GCCGUUUAGGCUGAGGACUACAUAACAUAAUUCUCUCCACUUACAAAGAGGAUUAGGUAGACUUAAGCAGACCAAUCUGUGCCUGCAGGGCAGGGACAUCCAAGUUAUAACACUUGGUGAAGGUAGACAGCGAUGAGACAGUCUGAAAGGUAGGACUGUUUAUUGAUAAGCCACCAAGUUGAACACAAAACUCAAGGGUGGUCUGUGAUUGGGAGCUAUCUGGAUAAGAAAGAAAGCAUCUUUCAAAUCCACAGAUAAAAAAAAACAGUCCCUGGGGCAUAUUUGCACGAGGAUCUGCUUGUUAGUCAGCAUCUUAAACGGGCAGGUCAGCACCUCUCCAUUUGGCAGGUUGAAAUGCCAUUGGUUCAUGCAGCUACACGAACAUGAACAAAUCAGGCUUCAGUAUCAGAGUAAACAGGAGUUUCCCCAUAAGCAUGUCAACGCAACGGGAGAGACCAUUCGAAAGGGAACUCUUUUGUUUGGUGAAAUGGAAGUGUUAUGAAAAACUUGGUGGGCCCUGAGAGCAACAUGAGAUUGUUAGGUAAUUGUUCGAUCUUUCCAUAUGUCAAAAAUAUGUGAAAUAAAUAGUUAUUUCAUUUAUUUUUUAUUGUUUUUUUCUGAGCCGAAAAUGGACUUCCAUACAAACUUGCAAGCAUUACAAUGAAAGCUUUCUAAUAAUUUCACUGUUUUCCCUUUUUUAUUUUAUGCGUCCAUAAAUAUUCCUCCUGCAGAUCAAAUUCUUUGGAAACAAGCCUCAAUACGGAUUAUUGCCUGCUGUGUGAUUUCUGAGAGUUUGUGUUUAUGAAGUCUCCCAGGUUGUUGUUUAACAGACCCCUGUGCAGUUCCAGAUUAUGGCCCAACAAGAGAAACGACAAUGACGUUUGCUGUUAGAAGAAAAAGGCGUGAAUUCCAGGUUAUUGUCUGUGGCAAUGUCUUGUGUCAGUGAGUUUGAAUUUUUAUAAUGCUCUUGCUUUUAUAUGCAAGUUUGUUGGUCAUAAAAUGUCAAAAUAAAUGGAUCAGGUUAGAAGGAAUUUCCAUGAGGUAAGACUGGUGGGAGUCUAAUUUUAAAGCUUAAUCUCCAUGGGCUUUAUGACAUGCCCGGAAUGGACCAGUAACAGCAGAUGCGGAUGGCAACAGGGCAAAGAUUAAUCAGCUGCACAUUAUUUAAAGGCCAUCAUAAGACAAAGUCCCUGAGCUGACUCGGUUUCAGCCACAGAAUGAGGUGGCUUAGAUGUUCUUGGAGCUCCUUGAAACUCCUAAUCAUCUUCUGCACGCCAUUGGCUUUGCUACCGCUGCCACUAGUCAUCUGAAAAAAGGUUAGAUAUGCUACAAACACAUGUGGAGAGAUUUUCUAUCAGGCCAGAUCUCAAUGAAAAUAAUGCGAAAGUUAUUCAUUUUUUAAGAAGAAAAAUUAAUGUAACGAUUAAAGAGUAAUGAAGCAGAGCUUGUAAAGAAUUGUGAUAUAUUGUACAUUUUGUACAAAUACUUUGGCACAUUUUUAUUAGGUAUAAAAUGUCUUUUAAAAAAAUUUGUCUUUUUUUUUUUUUUUUUUGUCCAAGACAAAGACAUUUUACCAAAAGACGGAUAAUGUAAAAGAAGCUGGUUUUGACUGCUUCAGUCCAUUUUGUAUUAUGGUUAUUUUCUGAAUGGAUAUAUUCCCUGAUAUCAUGUCCACUAGGAAGUAGAAUGUGCAUACAUCCUAACAUUAAUGGCUUUGUACUGGAUGACGGAGGUCUUGCCUCUGUCUGUGACGGUACAUCUUCCUGCGUUGCUUUUCCCUCUUUUUGGGAUCAUGAAGUCCUUGCAGGUACACGCUCCUGAACUAGUCACUUUACUCUUGAAAGACAAACUUUUGGAAAGUUGAUCACUAUAUUUCUGGACUAAUAAUGUGACUGACCGACCAUCUUCAAAGAUGUCAAAGACUUCCACUUGUUGCUUCUUGGUGUCAUCUGUCUAGCAAAAUCCAUUGAGAAAUGGAGUCUUCACCGGAGAAUUGCCCUUAGAUUGGUGACUGGGCUUGGAGUCAAUCCUGGCAUGUUGAUGCUCGGGUUCAUGGUUGGCUGUGCUUUCCUCUCUAAGUGGCUGAGCAACACCUCAACUGUGGCAAAGGUAAUGCCAAUUGUGGAGGCAGUGAUCCAGCAGGUUUUGAACGCAAGCGAAGAGACCAGCAAAGACCACAAGGGGGCGUUAAAUGGCAUCUCCAAACCUGCUCGAUAUCGAGGCCCAGUGUGACCUCUCUGAGAAGAUAAAAAGCAUCGAAACAAGAAUUGCGGAGCCAGUUCAGACAGCUUCUGAGCCCGAGGAACCAGAAACUGUUAAGGCGCCUCCACUAUAUAAUGGAAAGUACAGGACCUAUUAAGAUCACAUGAUGUGCAAAGGCUUGUCACUUUGCAUUGCCUACUCCUCAUCCACUGGGGGUCUGACCACAUUAUCAGGAACGUCCACAAACCUUAUCUUUGCUGAAUACAUUUAUCAGUACUACCCAGAUUGCCCCAUCAUUAAUUUUGGGAACUGGUUCGUGCUUUGUCUUCCCAUCUGCAUAAUUAUGCUGAUUUUGUCAUGGUUAUUACUGCACUGGAUGUACCUCGGGUCCAAGUGAGUGAUUGUGAUGUCUCCUAUUCAAUAAGUCAUUCCUUGACCCCUCUCUGUUUCUCAUUUUUACUCUUCGUCUUUGGCUUUCAUUUCAAUUCAUCAUUUCAAAUCACGCUGCCAUUUGCAUUUUUCCCAACUCACCACUUCAGAUUACUCUACAUGUCCUCAAUCUUCUUCAUCCUCCUUUGCAUGUCACUCACUCACAGCCUCCCAUUCUCACCGCUCUAGAAUAAUCCUGUUUUAUCGAGCAGCCUUCUUCAUUUUACCUGUCGAGAUUUUCUUCUAUCACUGAUGACGAAUCACUCACAGAACAUGGACGCAUGAUGUUGUGACAGAGAUGUGAUUGUUCUUAUGCAUAGUUUAAAUGGAUUUUUGUCAUAUGCAGAUAUUUGAG